UACGUAGGGUGCGAGCGUUAAUCGGAAUUACUGGGCGUAAAGCGUGCGCAGGCGGUUUGUUAAGUCUGUUGUGAAAUCCCCGAGCUCAACUUGGGAAUUGCAAUGGAUACUGGCAGGCUGGAGUAUGGUAGAGGAAGGUGGAAUUCCCGGUGUAGCAGUGAAAUGCGUAGAGAUGCGGAGGAACACCGAUGGCGAAGGCAGCCCCCUGGGCUAACACUGACGCUCAGGCACGAAAGCGUGGGGAGCAAACAGG
rnacentral:rRNA from 1 species